AGUGUGAGGGGCAACACGAAAAACAACACGCCCGCCCCUCUGACCCUGAACCACUUCAUAAGAGCUCAGUCAAACUAUAUUUGACACAAUAAAGGACACAAUGAGGAACAUUGCCUUGACAACAAUGUUAUAUCUCUGCUGUCUCGACUGGAUCUGCGUCUCGGGCUCUGAGCCUCACACUGUGGAGGUCCAGCCUGGUCAAGACGUCACACUGCUCUGCUCCAACAUUUCUAAAGGGCCAACUCAGACAGACUGGUUCAGAGUGGUCAACAGAACCACGCCACGCUGCAUCUCCUCCAUGUUUGACGCAAACGGCAAAGCUUCAAACUGUGAUGGAUUUAACAAACAAUUUGAAAUGAGCUCCAACGUCUCUACUGUUUUCCUUAAAAUCAAAGCAGUGAAUGCCUCAGACUCUGGACUGUAUUUCUGUGGAUUUUACAUAGAUGCAAAUACAGUUAUCGCCAACGCAACAUAUUUAAUAGUUCAAGGUAAUGAUCAACUUGAGAAAGAUGUGGAAUCUGAAACUGAAAAAAACCCUGGUCCAUCGACAAACAUGAUGACCGUGAUCCUCGCUGGUCUGUGUGGUUUCCUCACUAUGGUCAUCACUUUUCUAUGUCUGAAACCUACAACAGAAUCCGGGCUCUGAUGAUUACAUGAACUGUGAAGUGCUGAGAUUCCUUCCAAAGUCAGGAAGAUGCAGGAGACCAGCGUUGAAGAGAGCAGAGGAGACGCGUGUUAGUUAUACAGUCAAGACCCAGGAAACUGGAAAGUAAUAGAUGUGUUAUCAUAUUAAACCUGUGUUCCCCACUUACAUAAUAACAUGUAAUCAGGUUAGAUUCAUGUACAGUGGAUUCAUGUUUCAUGUCCUUGUUCUCUCUCUUUAAUUUACAUUUGAUAGUAAGUACGUGAUGGUCUAUCAGGGGAGUGAGAUAAACAUUACACAGGAAGAGACAGAAAAGUGUGGACUGAGUCAAAGUCUUUAGUCAAACUCAAAUGUUUCAUAUACUGACUUAACUGGAUUCAACUGUAAGUAAAAAAAGUAAAUAUUAAUGAAUCAAGCCAGUGAUGACAAACAUUGUCAGGACAGCAAAGACUGAGACCACAGACAUCACAUGAUCCCCUGUUGUUACAGACCCAGAGUAAGAAUACAUUUAAUCCAUAACUUAUACCAGCCUACUAAUCAAUGUGUGUACCCUUGAUCACAGUCUGAAAUGUUUUGGAGGAGGAGUCAGUUCAGAACUUUUAAAGGAUGCUUGAGUGACACGUUAUUAGAUUCAA